GACGAACGCUGGCGGCGUGCCUAAUACAUGCAAGUCGAACGCUUCUUUCCUCCCGAGUGCUUGCACUCAAUUGGAAAGAGGAGUGGCGGACGGGUGAGUAACACGUGGGUAACCUACCCAUCAGAGGGGGAUAACACUUGGAAACAGGUGCUAAUACCGCAUAACAGUUUAUGCCGCAUGGCAUAAGAGUGAAAGGCGCUUUCGGGUGUCGCUGACGGAUGGACCCGCGGUGCAUUAGCUAGUUGGUGAGGUAACGGCUCACCAAGGCCACGAUGCAUAGCCGACCUGAGAGGGUGAUCGGCCACACUGGGACUGAGACACGGCCCAGACUCCUACGGGAGGCAGCAGUAGGGAAUCUUCGGCAAUGGACGAAAGUCUGACCGAGCAACGCCGCGUGAGUGAAGAAGGUUUUCGGAUCGUAAAACUCUGUUGUUAGAGAAGAACAAGGACGUUA
rnacentral:rRNA from 1 species